rnacentral:rRNA from 2 species
CAAACGACUCUCGGCAACGGAUAUCUCGGCUCUCGCAUCGAUGAAGAACGUAGCGAAAUGCGAUACUUGGUGUGAAUUGCAGAAUCCCGUGAACCAUCGAGUCUUUGAACGCAAGUUGCGCCCGAAGCCGUUAGGCCAAGGGCACGUCUGCCUGGGCGUCACG